CCUGGAAGUAGGUUUGACAUGCAUUUUCUAGUUGUAAGUUGUAAUAGGUGAAUUUUCCUUGCAUUAAUACUGCUGUAAGACAAUCUUUGUAGAGGUGCCUUCAUGGUUGUUAUGACUUAAGAAGAAGUUAUCUGGAAGUAACCAUGUGACAGUAGCCCGAUCUGGCUCCCUUUGUUUUAUGUGCAAGAAUUUUCAUUGCUUUCUUUCAGUGGGAUGAUACUCCCAAUGUCAUGGUCGUUUGUCCUGAGAGGCUCACUUAAGAGCUCUUCAUUUACCUCUCUGGAAGGUUUCAAACUGUUGAGGCUAAGAGUUUGCCAGAUGUUUGAAACUGAAGAAAAUUCCUGGCAUCAUACGCCUAGUAACAUCAUUAAUCACUAUUGCAAAAAAAAGCAGAGACCAGGGACACAGUGCCAAACCCUUGUUUGGCUCGAUUAGAUAUUUAUAUAAUGGGUGUGCACAAUGCCUUAUCAAAGCACAGAACUUGCCUUUUCUUCAAUAUAUAGACAUACAAUGCUUCAAGCACUAAGAAAAAAAAUAACAGCAUGAAUACUCUUAUGUGCCAAAUGAUGCUUCAUUUUUUUUCCCUUUCCACAGAGAUUCUGAACUACACUACAGGCUGUUGCUAUUUUAUGGUGAACAAGUAUGGUCAGUCCACAAAAGUACUUCUGCAUCUAGGGUCAAUCCUUUGUGAUAGCUGCCAUGAUAUUACAGUUUAAUUCUGCAGCAGCAGGAAAUGGUAUUCAAAUUUUGCCUUUCUGCUUAGCCCACGUAGAUAUUUAGCCAGAGAUAAUAAGAAAAUACUUUGCAAUUAUGCUAGCUGAGAGUCUAUUAUCCCUUCAAAUACAUGGUCUGCACAGAAGGGAAAGCUGAAAAUACUAUUUCAGACAUUUAGGGUAUAUGUUUCUCUGGCACACUCAUAAUCUGACCAAAGCCAUUAUUUGGAAGUCAGUUGCACUCAAUCAUUUUGCCUGUUAAUGAGGAGUUACUGAAUCCUCCAAGCAUUAAUACCAUUUAUGAAAACACAAAGGCAAUCUGUACCUUGUAUCAAGCAAUUAUAAUAUGAUUGCAUUGAGCCUGAGGAAUUCAAUCAUUUGUUGGAGGUUGUUUUUCCCACAACAGACCUUCUAAAUAGAAUUACCAAGCCUUUCAAAUGUUAAUUUGUUAAGAAAAAUAUAAUGGCUAAUAAAGACAAUUAGGUUUGUAUUGUAAAUACUGGACUGCAGGACUAAAGCUGCCUUGGCUUGUAAAGAAAGUGUGGCAGGACUCUAUAGGACUGCUAAGGCUGGAAGCUAUCUUCAUGACAGAAUAAAAAACAUAUGGAUAUUAACAUCAGUCCCCAAAACAUGUUUUAUCCAAGGUAAAUGUAACACAGGGCCAAAAAAUCUGAGGCCUGAUUUGAGUAUUUUUUUCAUAAAAAUGAGGGUCAGGCAAGAAAUACUGAAGAUCUAAGACACCAAAUGAAAAAAGGCAUUAGCAUUAUGGCACUUAGAAAAAAGCAGAAGACAUUCAGAUAUAAGAGCACCAUAUAUAAAAGAUCGGUACUUUUCACUCUUUACAUUGUACCAUUUGUGCCUUGGCAAGAACACGUUAUUCAUUACUGGGUCUCAGACUUCAUGACAUCUUGGUAGACAUUUUGGAUGUAACACAGAGAAGUUUAGAAUGAGUUUCAAAUAAGUUUAAACUAAAUUUCAAAUAAGUUUAGAAAACAUUAGGUUUGAGGAGUAAACUAGAAAAGAGAAGACUAAGAUGUAGUGAUGGAUAGCAUAGAACAUAGCGUUUGAUACACAAAAGGUGCUGUGAGGAAGGCCGGUUAUUCUUUUCCGUUAUGGUAGAACAAGGAAAAAACAAUCACAUUUUUAGCUAUAAAGAUAUUUGUGAUGUUUUGUUUUUUUUUUAAUUCCUUGUUAUAAAAGUACUGAAGGAUAAAACAGGUAACUGAAGAAUACUGGGAAACCUCUUUCAUGUUUUUAUAAAUUGGUUGGAGAUACAUUUGUAAGGAUGACCUUGGUAUUUCUUGCUUGUCUAUGUCCAGAAAGAAGUGAUACAGUUUCUUGAAGGAUAUUCUUGGUCUGUUUGCAGGUGGCUUGGGCAAAUUUCUUUUAAAUUUUUUUUUUUUUUUUACUCUCUGAUUGCUACAAAAAAAAUCUUAGGCUGAACUGUCAUUUGUUUAUUAAAGUAAUCCCUUGUAGUUACUGUCUUUGCAACAAGCAAUUUUUUCUCCAAGAUAAAUGCUCAUAAAGAACAUAAACAAACCAGAGAAACCUUUGAAACCAUUUAGGAACAAAUUCAGCUGUAUGUCAAGAUCUAAUUUUAGGAACUCAGUGUCUCAGGUGGCAUGGAAAACCACAAGUGAAUUUUUUUUUCCAUCAGCACCUGGAUAGAAAUUUAUAACACAUGAAAAUGUCAGGACAAUUAUUCAUUCUUCAGUUGCUAGUUCAAUUAUUGCAAUGCCUUUUGCAUAGGGCUGUCCAUACAGGUCAUACAGAAACUACAGUCAUAAAUAUCAAAUAAUACUCUCUAUCCUUCCCCUACUUUUUUUUCUUUCCCAUUUUUCCCAACUCUAUUUGGUUAUUAUUUACCAUGCAGUCUCAUAUGAUGGCUUUACUCUGUAAACUGUUUAGGUCCUCAACUAGUUCAAAAAAUUUCAUUUUUCAAUGUACUUCUGGUGCAACUGUGGUGCUGAAAUUUUCAGCCACCAAAUUUAAGCAGUCAGGGUCUAUGCUUAUUUGGACCAGUAAGUUUAAAAUACCUGAAAAGUCUUUAGGUCUGAGUUCAGAGAUAUCCAAGUAAGUUUUGGGAGGGAAACACUGAUAGCUUUUCUUUCUCCUUUACAAACAAACAAAGAAAAGUGUAUUUUGAUUUACUCCCUUUUAGUAUUUUUCAUUCAGAAGGCAAACAUCAUUUAUAUAACCAUGAGGUAGAGCUAAAAUGUAAUAGUGAUUAUAAAUCAUGGAGUCCUUGAUGUCUGCAAGUUUGCACUCAUGUUUGUAACUUGUCUAGUCACAGCUAUACUGUUAAAGAAGCUGUUUACUUGUCCUCAAGAGUGUGCAAAACUAGACAGAAGGUUUCCAGUGCUCAGUGCUUCCGUUUCAUCCAGAAAUAUUGUGAGAAAAGAUCUCGAGGUUGUUUCCGCACUUCCUCUUUCAGUUGCACGUGGAACUGAGGAGUACAGGGAAGUGAGCGAAUAAAAAAUGAGCAAGAGAAGGGCUCUGUUGCAGCUGGAAAGAGCAGGAAAGAGGGAGAGGAAAUUAGUGCAGCCUAUGCUAAGGAUUGGAUAGGUGCGAGGUGCCUUGUUUCCUCCUGUGACUCUAGAGGAACACUGGCUUGUCUUUCAGCCAGGCAAGUUGAGUUAAGGUGAAACCCAUCCCUUCUGGCCAUGUUUACUGCCUGCAGCACCUCUAAGUGAGGCCCUUUCAGUAUGCAGAGAUCAGGAAAGAAUCGUUGAAAACUGUAAAAGUGUGAAGCCUGCCCUGUAAUCUCUUGUAUCUUCACUAUUGGUUUGUGUUAGCAGAAGAAACAAGCAGCACACCACACUCCUCAGGCAAGCAUAUGUAGAGAAAAUUCAAGCCAAAUGUGAAAGGUACUCUACAAAUUAACUGGAUCUAAAUCACCUUUUUUUUUUGUUUUGUUUUGUUUUGUUGCCACAGAGAUCUUAGAUAUUUUUGAGGCUGUUCAGCCUUUUCCAAGGUUAGAUUUAUGUCUAGACAAAGAAGAAAUACUGCCAAUAUAACACAUGCUUAUUUCAAACAUGGGUGACAAAAGAUCAGCUCUCCCCUGGUUGUGCCAGACAUCAAACUGCUCUUCCUGAGUAUGAGAACAGGAAGAGAUGAAAAAGGCUGCAUAUGUGUCAUGAGACCACUUUAAUGACAAAUGAGCAGUUGUCAUUGUCCUUGGUAGGAAGCUGAGCAGGGACUGCUGAGGUGUGCCUGACGUAUGAGUCCCCACUUACCAAGUGAGCUCUGACCCCACAGUCAGGCUGGUUAUUUCCAAUUAUUGAUCCAUGCAGCUUACAUGCACAACACUCAAUCUUUUUCUCAAUCUUUCCCGUCCCCCACCCCCGCUCUAAUUUGCUGCUAUCACAGGUGUUGUGUCUGCAUACACAACUCACUCUGACUUCCAAGGACAUGAGCAAGGUCCACUUUCUCCAUCCUCCAUCGUGUGGAUGGAUACCAACUCUAAAUGUUACUGAGACCCCAUUCCGUUGUUGUGGCUCACACUGAACAUCCCAGCAGGGGAGCAGACCCUUCUUAGGGUCAUUUGUGUCACCAGCUGUGCUUACGUCAGUGACUUUACAUGCAUCUCUGUGGGAAGAACACCUGAGCUUAAUAAAUGUAAGUCCAGCAUGAGGAAGGAAAUUACUUGGGUCUUUCUGCUUCUCUAUGAGCAGUUCUGGCCUUACAGGUAUUAUUCAGGAUAAGUAUGGCUAGCAGAUUUGAAUCCUGUAAAACUGGAAUUCACUGCAAUAAACCAUCUACCAAUAAUAAUUUUUACUCUUCUUCCCUGUCUGCAUUCUAAGGCAGAUAACUAUGUUGCUUGUGUCCAGGUUUUACUCGUUAAAUAGUGUGAUAACGGUGUUGCUGUCACUUGUUUGCUGUCGUAAAAUAUGCAAAUGUUGUGGAAUGAGGAUAUGAAAUACAUGUAUGCAUGUCUUUGUGUUUAUAAGGGUGCUUUUACAGAUAGAAGAUCAUUUGCUAUCCCUGAAGCAGUGUUUUUCCCAGUCCCUAGUCCUGUUAUCUAAGUUAAACAGAAUUAGCUUUGUAACAACACAGUACAUUAUCUAUUAGUAUAACACAUAAUUUGGAAGAAGAUCUAACAGCCUACUUCCAACUCACCAGAGCUAAUAGAUUCAGCAAUCUGACUUGAUUCAGCCAUAAUUUUUGGCACUAUUGACAAAAAAAUUUAAAAUCCAACAUUGGGAGUAGGCAUUUGGCUCUAUUGUUAUUCACAGAAUAUUGAGGCCCACAAUUAGGUACUACACACUGUUAGCUGGGUUCUCAUCAUCAGAUCGGUAGAGAAGUUGAGGUAUAAAUUUGUCCUUCACUGUUCAAGGUGUUCUCUUCUGUUUGUCCAAUUUGUGAUGCUACUUCAUUGCAAAUGACAUUUUCAGCUGAUAGGCUUUGUUAGCACUUCUAAGAUGAAAUCAUAGAGUGCAAUAAGUUACAGAGCUCUAAUUAAUCUGUAGCUCACUGCAGGACAAUGACCAAUACCACCCACUAGGCCUGGAGACAAAGGUGCUCUCCCAGCUUCACUGGACUUGAUGAUGAGAACACCAGCAGCUGUGUCGGUGUCAUCAAAGAGACCUGAGACUGUUUUCUGGCUCUAAAAGUGAGUAACAUGGCACAGCUUGUGCCCAUAUCUAGAGCCUUCCCCAUGCACCAGGCAGGGCAACCACAUCCAAAGCACCUGAAAGAAAUGUAUGGUUUGGGUGAUUCUUGAUUAGACAUUAGACUCAUAGAGUUGUAGAACAGUUUGGGUUGGGAGGGACCUUUAAAGGUCAUCUACUCCAAUCCCCCAGCAAUAAGCAGGGACAUCUUCACCGAGAUCAAGCUGCCCAGAGCCCUGUCCAACCUGACCUUGAAUGUUUCCAGAGAUUGGGCAUCUAUAAACCUUGACUUUCUGCUCAGGACAUUUUUUAUUUACUAAUAAAGACAUUGCUGAUGAGAGCUGCAUCAGACCCAAAUAUUGAAGUAGUUUCCCAGAGAAACAUAAAGCAUAUGAUAAACAUUUCUGUUCAAGUAAUAAGUCAAGAGAGUCACAUCUAUCCAACAGCACUAAAAUGUCACUCCUGUUUCUGCUGGCCUUCAGAGAUGGCAUAGCACUGGACUGGGAAUUAAUAUCUGUUCCUUCACUAAAAUAAUGGAAGGACAAAAUCUGAAAAUGCUGAGCUUGCACAAGUCGAACAAGAACAUACUUUUGUUUUCAAGUUUUUUUAAAACAUUAAUAUAAAACCUUUUACAUAGAUAAUCACAGUAACUAAAGACACACAUUUUAUAUUCAAUUUAAAAUUCAGUUUUGGGGCUCGCAGUUCAACUCUAAUUUCAAAAUCAAGUAACUAUGUAUAGAACCAGUUCAGAAAGUAUAAUUAAAAAAGAGUCAGAGAAGAUGCAUGCUAUAAGAACAGGCUGGACAGCACAGUUGAGAGGUUAUAAGAGAAAAUGGUUAUAUGAGAACAAACUGGCUGAGGCAGUAAUUGGAUGGUCUGAAUUUUAAGAAACUAGAACAAGUAUGGAGUGAGAUAAGGCCUUUCAAAUACUGCGUGACCUCAGAUGUUAGUGCAGAAGCAUUUUUGUCGUGUCACUGGAGUCACAGGAGCUGCAGUCUCAGAUGAUGGAAUUGAUAAUUAUAUUUGUGCCAGGAAGCUAUGCUUUUUAAUGAGUUUACCGUUCUUCUCAUACUAUUUUUUAAAAAGCUAUUCAUGCUUAUUAAGUAAUUGAUAGAGGACAACCAGGAGCAGGGCCAGGCUGUGAUAGUCACCGUACCAAGAGAGAAUUUCUAGGCUGAAGAAAGUUACCUAAGAAUAGCAUCAAGAGCAGUCCUCGUUUCCAUGUGAUGCUGAGAAGCAGUGGGUACCUGUGCUCCCUAAACAAAAAGCAGCGAUGUCCCCUCUUUAGCACAGUAUUUAACAAGGCCUGCACAGCUAGCACUGUGCCAAAGAGAGUCCACGAGGGUGUCACUCAGGGGCCAACGAGAAUCCACGAGGACAAGAACGAGUUACGAACCCUUUCUUCUUUCCUGCCUCUCCCUCACUUCUGGCUGGAGGGAGAAGAACUUUUCUAGUUGUGAUCUAUAGCCUGAGAUUCUCUCUCAAAUGUAAGGGCCUUACGUUGUUGCUUUUGAGGAAAUGAGCGGGUCUUGCUUUUUUUCUUUCAGCAUGGUUGAGAAGGUGGGCUGAGUGUAGGUGAUAUGACUAUGCAGUACAGUAAUGGCUGGAGUACCCAAUGCAAUGGGGAAAUUCUGGAGUUCAGUAAUUUUUUUAAUUGAGGAGGUAUAACCUACACAUCCUAUACACCCCAGAAAGUGGACUAAAACCCAGGUGAAGGAUGCUCUCUGUCCGGACUCCUCUCUGUUCCUACUGCUGAAACUGGGCUUUAUGCUAAAAAGAGGCAAUCACAGCAGUCUUUCUAUUGCUGGAGGUGUUUAUCAGAAACUGGUGACUCUUGUGACAUUCUGUGAGGAUCUUCACCAGCUGCGUGGGCAGUGAAUGUGCCAAACCAAGGGUGAUCCCAUCCCACAGCUCUUUGUCUGCUUGGGUGAUCCUGGGUCUGGGUGCAAGAGCUGCAUCAAGUGACUGGUUUUCUCAAAACUGAGGUACUUCGGAGCAUGACCAACUGCAAAUCUUUUAGGCAGGUGGGAAACUUUAAAAUAAAAUUAAAACCAAACCAAAACAAAAUGAAACAACAAACCUGCAAACACUUAACUAAAAUACAUCAACUUGAUGGGUAUUGUUUCAACACUGGAAUGUUUUCCUGGAUUAGGGCCUCCAAGAUUUUACAGGAAAUAUCCCAAUACUUCAGGUAAACUAUCCCUUAAAAUUCACUAAUGACCAAUCACUAUACACAAUCUAUUAUUCUAAUAAAGUCUUUAUUUGCAUUAAAAUAAUGUGAAAGAAAUGAAGUGUUGGACUGUGCACAGUGUUAUUUUUAAGAGACUGAAAUGGGGAAAUGAUGGUGUAUGGUACAAAAGGAAAUGCAAAUAGAUUCUGAGACAAUUCCUGGAAUUUCUGAUUUAUGAAGUAUUUUCAUAUAUUGAGGUAUGAAUAACUACUAGAAUGGAUACUGCAAAUCACUAUUUGUUAUUGGUGAUUUUAACAAAUAGAGGAACUACCGUCUUAUUUCUGGUAUAAGAUUCAGGAAAAUGUACCGUCGGUAAAUCAGAAUACGAUGACAGCCCCUAAAGGGGAAGUGGUCACUUCUUGUAAAUCGUCAGAUUUUUAGCUUCCUUUUUACAAUCAGCUCCUUCUAGCAAUCUUACAAAUGCAGAACAGAAGUGUGAUUUCCUGUUAUCUAUUUUUUUUUUCUUAAUUUUGAGAACAAAUUGACCACAAAUACUUAACAUUCUUGUAUGACUUUCAUUGCUGAUGGUGGAGAAAAAAAAAUAAAACACAUACAUUCAGCUUCUUCUAUGGCACAUACAACAGCACUGGGAAUGUUUGUGGAGCAGAGUCAUAAUUUGGCUCCAAAGACCAAAAGAAUAUCUAUUCAGCCUUUGGGCAUUAUAUAAUCUAAAGAGGGACAAGUGAGAUUUCAAAAGGUAAGACUUCUCCCAAAUUUCUGCUUUUAAUUAACUGAAACUCAAUGUGAAAGUUCCUUUCAUUUCCUUUCCUCCCUUUUUCCUGUCAGUCUGGGCACGUUGAAUGCUGCACCAGCACUGAAGAAGAAGCUGUUUGUCAUCAGUCUCUGCAGAAUGCUGCCAUUAUGCCUAGUAACAUUGGUGUAUUUAUCACACUGGGUAAAUUGGUUCUGUCACCACUGGAUGCUGUUCACCUUCUUUCUAAUGUGUUCUUUCCACUCCACUCCAAAUAGACCAAGCAGCCGUUUUGUGAUGUCUGCUCUUCUUGUUGAGACACAAAUGCCCCAACUACACAUCAAUAGAAAUGCUUGGGACACCUUUUCCAAACAUACAUCUGUUUUAUCACAGGGAUUACCACAUUUCCAAGAAGGAUUUUUUCCCAAAUUUGUGGCAGAAAGUUUGGUCUAACUGGCUUUACUGAUGUAAAAUAUUUACUGAAACAGCAAGGCAGAAGGUCCUUUAUUGCAUGUCAUUUAGGUUUGGGUUUGCUUGUGGUUUUCCAGUGUAAUCUCUAACUGAGGAGCUAAGAUCUACAGAGAAGACCUGAAAGUAAUGGAAACAACAUUUACUAGGAGUGGGCUAAAUAGCUGGCACUCUCUGAGGAUCUGCCCAAGUUUCCCCUACAUUCUUCCCAUCAAUAUUUUGUUAGGUGAUGCUUCCAGCAUCCAGGCACACCAGUUCAUUUCAGACCACGUAGGUUGGAGCCCGUGUUACACUGCAGGGCAAAGAUACAGCUGAUAAACACUUGCCUUUGUUCUCUUGGGAGAGAGCAGGAAAAAGAUCUCCCACAAUUCAUGGAGGAAAAAAUAAUGGGGUGCAUGUAUUCAGGUGUUUCUCUGUUUAUACAGUGGCUCAAUUGGAUGCUGCCCAAAGGGGCAUAAGCUAUGUCAAAAAUGUCCGAAAAUGACAUUGUAAACAAAUAUAGCAUGAAGAUUUGGGAAAAAUAAAAUCAAUUUUAACAAUGGUUUUAAGACUUCUGCUUAAAAUGUGAACUAGAUCUGCUUUGAGGCUCAAGAAAAUUUGAUUGAACUCUUCCCUACCUCUCCUUGUCACUCGCUAGUUAUCUUUGUCUGCUCUUACAUUUUCUGGUGUUGAUCAGAAGCAGAAGUAAAAUACUGAUGUGCUGAAAUAAAUGUUACUCUGAAACUUUUUUCCUCAUCUUAAUACAAAUAAGGAAGUGCCAGAAAUUUCAUUUGAAAGACAACUGUUGCAAAAUUUCUAACACAAUUUUGCAGACCAAGGAGAUCAAAAUACAGAAGUUACAGAUGAAGAGCUGUUGUUUGGGUGCUUAUUCCAGCACAGAACUUGUGAAAAUAUCCAACCCUAGACAGUGUAUUUUAAGGUUUAAGGUUUUAGAAGUUCAUCUUAAUAUCCCCAAGGUUCUCCAACUGUGAAUUCAAAUAGUUGCUUUACUUCUGGCAGAGGGUAUCUCUCUCACAAAUAGCUUUGAAUGGCUAUCAUCUUGAUAAUAUAUGAAUAUUUGGAGUAAUUGCUAGUCAUGCUAGUGAGAUAACUGUGAAAACUGAUCCAAACUGUGAAUUUGAUGUUGCGCUCCCCAUCACUAUACUGAUACCUAUGAAAGAAAAGAUAGUAAACAAGUUUGCAAUUUUAAACGAUUUUAACAUAUUGUUGCUACAAUUUAUUAACCGUUAAAAAAUAUUUAUACUCAAUUGCUAAUGAGCAACAGAUGCACACACUCUGUGGAUCUCUGCAAAAAAGCUGCCAACACAAAUUACUUUAAUCCUAACAGGAGUAAAAUAUCAAGUCCCUAACAUACUGUGUAGGGAAACUGGCAAAAAAUUAUUCCUGCCCACAUGGCAGACAUCAUUGCCUUCAUUCUGUAAGAAAUAUAUGUAAGAUAAAGUAAAAUGUGAUACUCAACAUUGUGAAGAUGUUGUAACUAAUCAUUGCAGUGCUUACCGUGGCAUCUUUGUUGUUUCUUAAUUCAAGUAAGUAAUAUUGUCUUAUUUUUUUAUUCCAAAAUGCACACUUUUUUUUUGUUAUUUUGAAUAAUUUCAAACAGCUAUGAAAUGCAAGUGCUGAGUAACUUAUAGUCUGUCUCUAGAGCACCAGUGGCUAAUCCUGCAUCAGACCUUCCAGGGCCCUAAGCUAUAGCCUGAACACACCGUGGCACACCGUCGUGAUUUCAGUGCUGGAGGUUGGGCUGUGAUGGACAGUAAUGUCCUCUUAGGCAUCAACAGCUGUAGAGAGAUUGGUUUUCAUAUAUGCUAGUGUAAAUGAUUAUUGAAUUAUGUCUUUCAUGGCAAAGACCCAGUUAUCUAAUGAAGUAGGGAAAAAUGACACAACCUACAGCUUCAUAUAAUGAGUGUUUCCUGACAGAUUCUGCCUUUGUAUGUCAAAAAUGUUGUUGUCCUCCCAUAUUCUUUCAGUCCACAGCUACUGUAUAUUAUUAGCCACUGGUCAUAGCAACAGUGUGACAAAUGCUUCACUGACAUGAGAAAAAACACAGAGGCAUGUGAAGAAGUCCCAGUGUAUGAGACAAAAUAGAGAACAAACCAAAGAAUCCUCCGAAAAGGAGAGAGUGCAGUGAGAAGUCAUUCCUAAGGCAAGAUGGGAGGAAAAGUGGACGGAAAGGAAAUCUUGACUUAGCUACAACAGGAAAAGGAAGGAUAAUUAAGGAGAAGAUAAAAGACAGGAAGGCAUCACAGUGUAUCUUGAUUACUUUUUGCCUGGGAAAAUCUAGUCUGGAAAGAAGAAAGAUGUUACUUUUUCACGCAUGUGUGCGGGGUUGGCUGCUAUGAGCAGUGAGCGCUAAAUGACACCCGUGUGUAGUCAGUGCUGUUUACAGUCUAGGCACAGAAAAGGUUGCUUGCUGGCCUUAAUCCUUACCAGAGAAUUUAAUUUCUUCCUACGCAUAUCAUGCCAUUUUUUAAUGAGUUGCUGUGGGUAUUGUAGAUACAGACCCCAGCAGGACAGUGUUAGCCAGCCAUUUGUGUUCUGGUGGGGUGGAGAAACCACACACAGCUGCAUGCCUUCGGUGUGGGGGCUACCAGGGAUCUGGCUUUGAGGAAAGUCAAGCUGAUCGCAGCUCUGUGGAGUUACAUCCUUCCUGGUGUUAAAUGAAGGAUGAGCUCUGAAGCUCGUGGAAUUAACUAGUAUUUUGUUUCUUCUGGAGAGAAUUUAAAGGCAAGGUUGUCUGUGUGCAGCACCUGGAUGCUGGGUCAGUGAACACCUUCAGUGGUCACUGUGAGAAGAGCUGGACCAGUGGAGAACUUGAUUUGCCAAAAUCUUCUUUAUGUUGCUGGUACUAAACAAUGGGUGUUUGGCUUAUCUACUUUAUUUAGGCUCCUUUGCCACCAACAAGAAACCCCUGGAGCCUGGCUUGAAGGAUAUUGUUAAUGGCACCCAUAUAGAGAUGAGCGCACUCGGUAUUUGUGAUUUGUUUCUAUUUCCUCACUAAGUCUUCUAACUAAACAGCUCUGUAGGCAAGAAAAAGGAGAGAGAUCACAUUUCACUAGCACUGGUUUUGGCAGAUUCUGAGUUGGAGAGAGAGCUAAACCGGUACGUGUCACUAGUUAGAGAGGGCGGGGAGCGAGGUACUGUGUUUCUGUUUUUCACCUCAUCUGGGAUGUAAAAUGAUGAGGAACAGAUUUAGAAACAAUUGCCUCCUUAGCUUUCAGCUACUCCAUUAAAGGUGUGCUUUUGAUGAUAGCCAGCACUGCUCGGCAAAUAAGAAGCAGUAUAUUGAUAUUGGCACCAUACAUAGACCAUUAUAGUCUCCAUACACAAGGAGCAAAGCAGAUGUUUUCAGCUUAGUCACCAUACUUCCCCUAAUGUUAAUGGAGAAAUAAAACCUUUGACUGUUGGAAAGCAUUUGUUCUCAGGUUUGAGCACCUUACAGUUUUCUUCAGGUGACGAAUUUCUUAUAUAAAAAAUGUAAUAUGUAGAUCUAGAAUCUAGCUGUGUAGUCAUUGUCCAUUAAAUACAAGGCAUUUUGUAGUCUAUAUUGUAAAAAAAAUAGGAUAUAAGAAAGUAUUUUUAUAAAUAAGAAAUACAUCAAUUUCUUGGUUCUUUUGUUUCAUGAAUUAAACUAAUAGCUAUUCCUCAUAUUUUCAAGUGAAGAUGUCAUAUAGCUUUUAUGCAGGUCUCAGACGCAAAAUAUUUUUAUUUAUAUACUUUGUUUUGCAGCAGUCAAGAGAUGGGUGAUGUUCAUUUCACUGAUAACAAAAUGCUUGCACAAGGUCUAUUAGUAGUUUCUGAAUUAUCCAAAAAAGUUUACAGGACACUUUCUUGUUCCCAUCCCAGUUUAGUAAACAAAUCUGCUUUCAUUUGGAGAAAGAGUGUGUGGGGUGUGUGUGUAAACAGAGAAAGAAAAUGUUCUGAAGUGUCAUGUCUUUGUCUAGGUCACUGCAACGUACUUUGUAGCAGCUGAAAGCAGUUGUUGCAAGCAACUCUUGCAAAAACUUUUAACAGACACUUGGCUGGAUAAGAAAGAAAAAGAGGUUUAGAAUGUCAUCUACAGUGGUGAUCAAUAUUUUGCACUUUUAGACUUUUUCUCAAGUCUUGGAUGAUUUUUUAUGAUGCUGUAGUAGUUUCACAAGGUUAGCGGAGUCAGCUUUGGAGUCCUGGGCAAAUUCCAGAUGGCACAGCACGUACCAACACUGUACUGUUAAACACGCACAUUAUUUCUUGUCCAUACUGUUUUCUGCACUGCUCUUCUACGAAACUCUGUUCCAGAGGUUUCAUUUCUAAGUCAUAUGAUCCCUCUGAUAUACAGUUCAUAAAUCAAUUUGCAAAAUAUGGUGAGCGCCUUGAUUUAUUGUGGGUUAGAGGUGAUGUAUAAAUAACCAUCUUUUUUUUUUUUUUUUUUUUUUUUUUUUUAAAUUUCAGGGCCAGCACUGUCACGUUGCUAAAUGAAUUACUUUUAUAGCCUAUUAUUUUGCAGUGCCAUGUCUGAGAAUGUAAAUCAUCCAAAUCUGCUGGACGAGCUUUCUCCCCGCUCAGUAAAGGUGUGUGGGACACAUCAGUAUCAGCAGCACCAGGGAGCGAGUUGCAAAGCCCUUGGGCAUGGGACUGGCCUGCAUUUGUCGAGAUUAGUAUUGACAUUCCUAGGAAAUAUGUGUGUUAAGAAGGAACUGAUUGAAGGCUGCUGGUCUUUCGGAGAAAAGGACCAACAGAAUACCUAAAAGAAACAAGAUAUGAGAGAAGCUUAGAGACGUAUGUGAAAGGAAGUUUUGGAAAGCUACUGAAAGCAGUACACUUAAGGAGCCCAGAUAUCAAUGUCUGAUGACAGCCUGACAAGUAGAAGCUUUUCAACCUUGUCAAGUUUUGAGAAACUAAGGGGGAAAAUAAGCUGUCAUGACUGUAAAUAAAGCGCAUUUAAAGCAAUUGCUGAUUCUUUAGCAAAGAAGACAAUUGUGCAUUAGAUUUGAUUUCUGAUUAAAAGGAAAUUACUGGAAGAUGUUUGGGCAUAGGAUUUCUAAUAAAUCAAGUGUCUUGGAUCACAAAAGUAGCGAAGUUGAUGUAUUCUCAAGAAAUAUAGAAAUGGAAGACUAUUUCUUCACCUGUUCACCUGCAAAGGGGUGUUGGACCUUUGCCAGGCCAGCCUCUCUGUGUCUGGCAGAAGUAAAAAACCAGUAUCUUCCCUCUCGGCUAGUUUUCUGAGGUUUCAGUUCUGAUCUCUUCCCAGCAACUGGGGACCAAAUCUAGGAGUGAAGACUAAAAUGGUGCAGAUGAUGGGCUCUUCAUGGCUGGGUGGCUACCGAUAUGAAAACCCAGAAAAACAACAGGAAAAACCACUGCAAGAUGGGCUUUUUAAGUUCACGUAUCAUCUCCCUUCUCUAGUCACUCCUUGUCCAGCUAAACAUCAAUCACCCUGCCAGUCGUGCUUCUGUUAUGAUCAUGAGGAACCUGAUAUUGCACCCUGAAGGCAAAAAUUACUUUCUUGAAUCAAUUUCAAAGGGAAUAUGUGUGGACAUUUUGAUUGCUCUACAUAGACGCAGGCACAAAUGCUUGCAGAUGUGCUUACAGGUAUGUGCCAGUGCUGACUCUGCCCCUGAGCUUGUAUUGUCACCUCAUUUAAUUGAUAACCUUCUCUUAGAGCUCAAACAAGCCAACUGUAGUUGCCUUAAGAAGUAUGGUCUUUCCUACCUACUUAUUCGCUAAACAGAUCUAUUGCAAUGUGUGACUGCUAGAGAAGACAUUUAACAGAGCUGAAAUUUUUGGUCCUACUCUCAAUACAACCCUCACAAUAUUUUCUUUCCAACAUACAUAUAAAAUCUGUAGAGUAUUUCAACAUUUUACUUCUAGCUUUAGCCAGUAUUAAAUGAAAUAUAUCUUGGCCAGAGGAGAGCCAAGAGGAAAACGGUCAGUUUACAGUUAAAGAAAAAAAGUUAGAAAGUAACAUUUUGGAAACUGGUCUUUGUAACAUGAACACAUCAAACACAUUUCACAACAUUAAAACUGCUAUCACUGGAAAAUGUUAGCUUAACAGAUAUGUUUAUUUAAGUGAUUUUCAACUUUGUCUGUGAAUAUAGAUUGCAAGUGCAAGAAGAAUGGUACGGAUAGCAUUUUACUUUUGUUUAGUUUAUCUUGACAUUUCUCAUAUCUAAUUACUGGUGAAUCAAACGAGAUCAGACUAAAGAACACAUGAAAAACAAGAAUAAAAGUUAAAACCUUGUCUGAGAUUUUUUUUUUUUUUUCUGUUUGCUUUGAAUGCUUAAGCACCUGAAGACAAUGUUUAAACACCUUGAACACCAGCCCAAAUCUAUGGCAUACAGAGCCAUAUGGCAUACUGAGCCCUUCUAAAUUACUCCAACACCAUAUUACAGGGACUACUUUAAGUCAGUCAGACCUAGAAGCCAGGUUACUUUGCUUCACUUUCCAGUGGAUAAUAUUAGAUUAUAGGUCCUGCUGGUUUUUAACACUGCACAGACACCAAAAUUGUAUCUGCAGCACGUUUCCUCUAUCUUGGGGGAAAAAAAACCCAAACAAACAACCGAACAUAAAAUACAACAAAACCAAAACCACACCAUGCUUCUUAGAAAUCCUAAGAUACUUCUAGAUCAAACAGAUUAAACAGUUACGAAUCCUUAGCAGCAUCUCAGACUAAUUUAUGCAAUGCUGUUAAGAGUAUUAGCUGUUGUGAGUUUUAAUGACUGCUAGAUUCUGUUUCUUAGUCUAUGAGUGAAAUCAUAUGACAACGAUUGUCCUACAUACACAUAUGCAAAAAGAUUCUCAGUUAUUUGCAUUAUAAGGUCAGAGUAAGAUAAAGGAUAACUAUUGAUUUGAUUUCUCAUUAUUAUAUAUUAACAGAUAAUAUUGGACAACAUGUUUAUAUUUUAUUUAAAAUAAAUGUGGGUGAAUAAACGGGUGGUAAAAGGCUGGUGUGCUAACAAAAUUGAAUUUUGGCUAAGGAGGGCACUUUUAAAUUAGCUCUGUUACCUUGAAAUCAGCAGAACAUUUGUCUGUGACUUCAGUGGGCUUUGAGUCUGUCCGUACUUCUAGUUAUGGCAUGGGCUGCUUUAAUUCUGGCAUGCGGCCUAGCACUCUCAAGGACUUCGCAACUUUUUUUCCCAGCAUCCAGUAUUUCUAUAUUUGUUCAAUGUUCUAGCCUUUCUGGUGUUUAAAGCUCUCCUAAUUUAUUUAUUUAUUUAUUUAUUUUCUAAUUUAAUCUUAAGGGAAAAAAAUUCUUGCCUGAAGUCCCUUUUUGCAUACUGGGGAUCAGAACUCACGAAAGGCUAUUUCACAACAAUUCAGUUUUUUGUCCAGGCCAUUGACUCAAUUGCUAAGGAUUUUCAUGAGCCUCUGUCCACCCAUUCCAUCUCCUCAUAACCCAGAGUUGCGUUAGAAGAAAAAGCCACGAGGAGCAAUAAGUAUUGCCCAGUUUGUACAUCUGUAAUAUGUGAAGCCUCCAUCCUAAUAUGAGCCACUAUAAUAAUUGUCUGUGUUAAAUAUUUCAGUUGUGUACAUUCUCUGAACAAGGCAUUUUUCCUAAAUGUUGUUUCCCAGUUGUUGUGGCUAGGAGCUGUAAACCAUGGGCUUUCAGUUACCAAGAUGUGUGAUGAGGUUCUGAGGAGCCUUUCAUUAAGCAUUUCCCAAUAAUGUUAGCAACUGUAGCCAAGGAAGCAGUUAAUUUAAUUUUCCUUGUUCAAAUACACUAUGACAGGGGAUUAUUCUUAAAUUUAAUUGUUCCUUGUGGAAAUGAGGAGAAAAAGACAGGGAUGGAGUUACAUGAACACCCUCCCCAGAAACUUUGUAUGUGGUGUGUGUUUCUGCUGUCUAUUUUUUACACUGUACAUCUGCAGCUGAAUUUUACGUAGUCUGUCUUUAUCGUUGAUUGUCGUCACAGGCCCAGUGCAAGGCAACCACAGAGGAAGUGGAAUAAGACCCUAACAAGGUAAAAAUGAGUAUAAAUACAUAUUAGUUCUUCCAAGGUACCUGGAAGCAAAGUAAUAUAUGUCCAUCAUACUCUGCUCUCUUUAUAUCACUGUCUUUUGAAGCCAGGCAUUUUAUACAUCAGAAAGUAUGGUUAACAACGAUAAUUACAAUAGGUUUUAAUUAUUUUGAAGCCAAAGCAAAGUUAGUAACCUUAGAGUUAAAACAAAAAAACUGUGUAAACACUGAAAGUCUUUGUGCAGCUCUGUUUGUCAUACAGAUUAAGCUUAGUGGGUUGUUAGAGCUGUACAUGUUGUCUCCAUCCUGUUAAAUGCUAGUCUGCCACAAACUAUGCUUUAUAGGAGUUGUAAUUUGAUAAUGUAUAUGCUGCACGCUAAAACUUAAAACUGGGUCAUAUAGGCUCAAACCCAGUGUGGGUUGCUUCUUGCUAUUUCCUUCCUAAAAAACUAUGGAAAAAUUUCCAGGUAUCAGUUUUCCAAGACAUUGAAGAGUAAAAACUGAAAAAUAAAAACAAAGAAAGAAUAGGCUCAACAACCCUAAACUCUCCUUCUCAAGCAGAAAAUCCCUCCCAGAUAAAAAUGCUCAGAGAUUUUUAGUGUAAACCAACACUGGGCAGUGUGUGUCUUCUGAAGUAAUCUGAAAAGUCAUCUGAAAACUAGCUUUGAUUUCAAGUAUGAGCUAAUGUGCAAGUUAUAAGGUAAAGCCUUUGAGUAUUGGCUCAUUUCAAUUAUAGUGUUGAAGCCUUUGCUGAAGCAAAGGCUCAAGAAUGUGUUGUAGCAGAGUAUUUUUCUGUAUGGUAGGGGAAAAGGUUAGGCAGAAUUCCCCUGAGCUAUAAAAAGUCCCCAAAUAACUACAGAGAUAUCAAAAUGUCAUCAGGUUGUUAUACUUCAAAUUAUAAACAGGUGAUCCAGUGAUGUGAUGCAGAAAGAGUUCAAGUCCCUGAAUUUCAGACCAGGAGUCUCUUCAUUAUUUACUACUAAUUAUGUUGAACUGUGAGCUAUAUUUAAAUUAAGAUUGUCCUGAACUCUUUCUGUUCUGAGAAGUUUAAGGUCAUUAAUCAGAUACUCCACAAGCACAAUAUUAUUAAAAAAAAAAAACAAACCAAACCAAAACCAACCAACCAAACAACAAAAGGUUGGUUUUGGCUUUUCUUUUGAUUUUUGUUUUUUUUUCCUGCCCAUCUGCAGGAACCUGGCUCUCUUCCAGCUCAGCUGCUGCUCUGGUGAGAGCUAAAGGUGGAGAUAUUUUCUCUGUGGACCACCACACAGAAGAACUGCCCAAACCCUGCAGUGCAGCAGCCCUUCUUUUGGAAUAUUCUGCAAAAGUCGAGCUGUUGUGGGGAGAAUCCCUUGUUUAGGUUGUUUGGGGAACUGGAUGUGAGACCUUGUGAUAAAGAAAACAGCAGCCUUCAUCAUUUGCAUUCAGCCCCUCCAUUUGUAUAAUCAGAAAUCCCUCUCUGUGCACUGCCUAGAAGAGCAGAUGUAGCUAAAUCAUAGCUUUUGAAACUUGCUUUGCACGUGAGCUAUUUCUGAAUGGGGAGUGCCUUGUGUUCCUGGAAGCAGGGCCGGGGGAGGAAGCAAGAUUAUAAUGCAUCUGAAAUGUGGUCCCCAAACUGCGCUGGGACAUAGAUUCUUGCUCAGUGAGCUGAGGAGGACACCUGGAGAACCACUUUCACUUCUUGCCAAUUAAUUUCCCCCAGAGUUCUCCCAUUUUGAGCUUUUUAAGCUAUGUAGUAUCUGUCCAGGGGCUUUCAGCCUUUCAGCCUUGUGAAUAUUUUUGGUAUGAGUUGCAGCCCUGGGACAGCUUACCAUCCUGGUGUUAGACAGCUGUGAAUGCAGAUACUUCCCAACUGUGGUUAAAUGGAAGAAGAUUUGCUGUGGUGUUGUACAGUAUUUAGUUCUAGUCUCACUGCCUCUGAAAUUACUUUGUGGUAGGACUGUAAGAUUGGUUUCUCCCACCAAAGCUGUCAGGUGUGCUGCUGUUUGGCGAUGUUUCUGAAGUGUUCAGAAUUACCGUAGUCACUAGCAAGUGUGGCUGAGAAUUUAUGAACUUUAGUUUUGUAGCUUGGAUGGUUUCUCCGAGGCACAGGAAAUUUUCAAAGAGAGAACAAAUAAAUUCUUCCAUCAUCCUCCCUCUGCUUCAGUAACCCUAUGGCUGAAAAUUCCACAUUGUUAGAAUUCUGUCCUUCACAGGAGGCAGAGUCAGACUGGCAAGACUUCUCUAUAGACUGCUGUUUUCAUUUCCUACUUCCACACCUGCAGAGGCAGCACCUUGAAGCCAAAAAUAAGGGGGUUUAAUUUAUGUGUUUCUUGGAGUGUGGGCCUGAAAAGUUUUCAGUGAGCCACCAGGCAAUGAAGUUACAGUACAGCUGUUCUAAGAAUAAAGAAGACCUUGUAUAAAAAAGGGGAAAAAAUGCAGGUACAUGAGAAACAACAAUAUACUGCAACAAAACACCAGGUAAUAUUUGGAGGGACUAUUGCAAAGUAGCUGCGAUCAAUACAGAAGUUUCCAAGCCCUAGAAGAUGGUAUAGGCUAGUCUAAAUGAUGUUUUCACAGUUAACUUGGGGGGGGUCUGACUUCUCAGCGCAGCUGUGUCACAGUCCUUCCCUCAUGUUGGAAAACCCACUUAGGGCAAUAUUUUCCUUCAGAAUUCUAAUUUCAUCAGUUUUUUGUGUGUCUGUUCCUGUAGUCACAAAGGUUGUUUCUUUCCUUGCUUCUUUGGAAGGGAACAACAUAGAAUUAUAUAGAAUCACAGAAUGGUUUGGGUUGUAAGGGACCUUAAAGAUCAUCUAAUUCCUACACUCCUGCCGUGGGCAAGGACACUUUCCACUAGGCCAGGUUGCUCAAAGACAUAUACAGCUCUAACUGACGUGCUAAAGUUUCUAGAGUCCGGGUAUCUCUUAGGAAUCCAUAUCAGGAAGUUUAUUACUUAAUGUUCAAGCUGAGAAAGUCCUUGUUGAAAAUAAUGAUUCUUGUCUUUCAAAGUGAGAUACUGCCUGUCUUACAUAGUCUUGAUGAUUAAUUAAUUCAUCUUUUACUUGCUUUGGGAAUCUCAGAAGGAUUAAUAAUAAUUCAUCAUUUUUGAAACUCUGGUAUACAUUAUAACAUGAUUUUUGACAGAUUUGCAUAAUGUAUGACUAAACAAUUAGAAAUUUUGUACAUAUGCAUGACACUACAUGAAUAUACUUCUGAUCUUUCUCCAAUACCCUUGUAGACAUGUGGUUCUGCACAGUAGGUGGAAAAAACUGAAAUCUCCUUUUCUUUCAGCUCCCACUUAUGAACAGUUUAAAAAAGAAAUAGCUUUCCAUUCAGUAAUAAAAGAAAAAAAAACCAAGAAAUCUGUCUGUCUAUCAGGAAAUCUGAUAUGUGCUACACUUGCUAAAUCCUCUUUUCAUUGAAAUGGAUUAAGAGACCUCAUAGAGAAAUGUAAGUGAAAAAGUGUGAUAAUAAACUGCAUGCUUUAAAUAGAAGAUAGGAUUAUACUUAGUACUCUGAGAAAAAAAAAAAAAUGUUCUUUGUAUGGUGGAAGAAAAAGCAGUUCCAUGCUUCAAACCUUUAUCCUGGACUUGAGCUCUCUCUGAGUUUAAUGUUGAUACUUCUCAUGAGACGUCAAUGGACAGAGCUCACACUUCAUUCUUCGGAAUGCAGAUGAAACUUCAGCUGGCAUCAGUGACACUCACAACUGUAUACCAGUGGGCAGAAACUAGAUAUGAAAAACUCCUAUUGUAUGAAUUAUUAGUCAUAAUCUGCAAGUAAGAUCCUAGAUGAAAAGAUCCACAAACUAGAAGCAUUCAAAAAUGGUUCUGGAUCCAAGAUAUGCUCAAGGAAGUUUUGAUCCAGUGAACUAAAAUCUGUACACUAGACCUUGAAGACAAAAAAAAACCCCUUUCAAUUCUGGAUCUUCUUUACCCAUUUUGAUUUGACAUGGAUCGAGAUGCAAAAGAAAACCACUUGUGAUUCUGCUCCCUAUAUAAUAGCUCAAGUUGGCUGACCAAAGACCAGCUAAUGGGGAAAAGAACGUAAUUUGUUGACAAACAUUUCAAUUAACACGUGCAAAGUGUAUGUUUAAGCAUGCAAGUUUAGCAGCCUCAGUGGUCAAUUUGAGGGAGAAAAGGAAAUAAUGGUGAAAUUAAUCAUACUGACGCCUGCUUGUCUGAUGUUUUUGGCGUAUUGCAGAACAUGAACUACAACAAAAUUUGGCAAGAGAUUCUGAUUUGCAAUGAAAUCAUCUGUUUUGUAACAUGCUCUCCCCUAUCUUAUUAUUCGUUGGCAUGUUACACAUGUGGAGAUUAGAAGGUCAGAUUAAAAUAUUCAUUAGUCACCUAAAACACUUACAGCAUCUGACAAAGAAGAAAUCAAAUCUCAAAAAUCCCUUCCAGGGCAGGCUGUGAAAGGCUGCACUUGGUGCCAAAUGUGGGGCUGGUCAGACCUAUGUUUAGAAACCCAUGAUAAGUUCUAAACAGAGUUUGAUGAAAACCUGAUGCAAGUCUCUCCUUCCUCUGUCAUCUGCUGACAUUAAACUGUGAAGUUGCCUGUGAUGUCAGUUCUGAAUUAUUCCUUCUUGAUUGCUGACUCAAAGGCUGGAUGUUAAUGGAGAACUGAGAUUUUUAAGGUUCAUCAGAAAAAGCAUUAAAAAUCUGAAAAAUAUGCAUAACUCUCUGGCUGGAGUAUGCUCACAUGGCUUUUCUGUGCUCCGUUAACUAUUCUUUAACAGUAAUUUCGCAAGAGGUUGUUGUUUUUUUGUGUGUGUAUAUGUUUGUUGUUGUUGUUUUUGUUUGUUUGUAUUUUUUUCCAAGGGCUAAUUUAUUUUUUGUUCUUCUCUUCUCUCUCUGUCCAUGGAGAGUGACUAUUGGCAUGAACACAGAGAUUCUUUGCUUGAGUUUGAGUCUUUAAGGGAAAUUUCAUGUGGGAAAGGUGCUGACCACUCUGCACUAAUAAGAAAGCUUAAAAGGAAUGUUAACACUACUUUAGGGAACUUUGGAAUAUUUGAAAUAUUCAGAGGAAUGAGUCAACUGAAGCUAUGAGAUUUUGCUCUGGAAUCGGCUCAGACAAAAAUCACAAAAAUCACUGCAAAAUAACCCCCCAAACCUGCAGAGACACGUGUGCUUAACUUUAAUUCCAUUGGCUACUUGCUUGAUUAAAGACUUUGCUCUCUGUAAUCACAGUAAAGUUCUGACCAGAUCCAGGCUGGCAGUCCAGGUUUCACUUCUUCAGACAAUCAAAGGGUGCCUUUGUCUCAGCCUGUCUCACUUAAGAACAUGCUGCUUUUAAAACCGCUACUCUCUCAUUACCCAGGCUUUUUCUUGUCCUAUUAUUGCCUCUGAACAACCUUUCCCUGUCCAGAGAAAAGUGACUUACCUGUCCCUACUUUUUCUGUCCUGGCUGUUUUUUCCCGCUAGUCAACGAAGCCAAUGUAUCUGCACAGAAACUAUUCCAAUAAGCAGGUCAACAUUCAA